AACGCUAGCUACAGGCUUAACACAUGCAAGUCGAGGGGAAACGAUAUUGGAAGCUUGCUUCCGAUAGGCGUCGACCGGCGCACGGGUGAGUAACGCGUAUCCAACCUGCCCAUCACUUGGGAAUAACCUUGCGAAAGUAAGACUAAUGCCCAAUGACAUUUAUAGAAGGCAUCUGAAAUGAAUUAAAGAUUUAUCGGUGAUGGAUGGGGAUGCGUCUGAUUAGCUUGUUGGCGGGGUAACGGCUCACCAAGGCGACGAUCAGUAGGGGUUCUGAGAGGAAGGUCCCCCACAUUGGAACUGAGACACGGUCCAAACUCCUACGGGAGGCAGCAGUGAGGAAUAUUGGUCAAUGGGCGAGAGCCUGAACCAGCCAAGUAGCGUGCAGGAAGACGGCCCUAUGGGUUGUAAACUGCUUUUAUAGGGGAAUAAAGUGAGCCACGUGUGGUUUUUUGCAUGUACCCUAUGAAUAAGGACCGGCUAAUUCCGUGCCAGCAGCCGCGGUAAUACGGAAGGUCCGGGCGUUAUCCGGAUUUAUUGGGUUUAAAGGGAGCGUAGGCCGGAGAUUAAGCGUGUUGUGAAAUGUAGACGCUCAACGUCUGCACUGCAGCGCGAACUGGUUUCCUUGAGUACGCAUAAAGUGGGCGGAAUUCGUGGUGUAGCGGUGAAAUGCUUAGAUAUCACGAAGAACUCCGAUUG
rnacentral:rRNA from 1 species